GCGCUCGUAGCUCAGUGGAUAAGAGUAGUGGCUGCCGAAGCCAUUGGUCGGGGGUUCGAAUCCCUCCGGGCGCGCCA
rnacentral:tRNA from 1 species